UGUUAGUCCACGCCGUAAAACGAUGANGGUAAAGUGUUAGGGGUUUCCCGCCCCUUUAGUGCUGCAGNAAACGCAUUAACCACUCCGCCUGGGGAGUACGGUCGCAAGACUGAAANUCAAAGGAAUUGACGGGGGCCCGCACAAGCGGUGGAGCAUGUGGUUUAAUUCGAAGCAACGCGAAGAACCUUACCAGGUCUUUGACAUCCUCUUGACAACCCUAGAGAUAGGGCUUUCCCUUCGGGGACAGAGUGACAGGUGGUGCAUGGUUGUCGUCAGCUCGUGUCGUGAGAUGUUGGGUUAAGUCCCGCAACGAGCGCAACCCUUGAUCUUAGUUGCCAGCAUUCAGUUGGGCACUCUAAGGUGACUGCCGGUGACAAACCGGAGGAAGGUGGGGAUGACGUCAAAUCAUCAUGCCCCUUAUGACCUGGGCUACACACGUGCUACAAUGGACAGAACAAAGGGCUGCAAGACCGCAAGGUUUAGCCAAUCCCAUAAAUCUGUUCUCAGUUCGGAUCGCAGUCUGCAACUCGACUGCGUGAAGCUGGAAUCGCUC
rnacentral:rRNA from 1 species